GAUUCUGGCUCAGGAUGAACGCUGGCGGCGUGCCUAACACAUGGCAAGGUCGAGCGAUUCUCUUCGGAGAAGAGCGGCGGACGGGUGAGUAACGCGUGGGUAACCUGCCUCAUACACAUGGAUAACAUACCGAAAGGUAUGCUAAUACAGGAUAAUAUAAGAGAUUCACAUGGAUUUCUUAUCAAAAGCUCCGGCGGUAUGAGGAUGGACCCGCGUCUGAUUAGCUAGUUGGUAAGGUAACGGCUUACCAAGGCGACGAUCAGUAGCCGACCUGACGAGGGUGAUCGGCCACAUUGGAACUGAGACACGGGUCCAAACUCCUACGGGAGGCAGCAGUGGGGAAUAUUGCACAAUGGGCGAAAGCCUGAUGCAGCAACGCCGCGUGAGUGAUAGAAGGUCCUUCGGGGUCGUAAAACUCUGGUCCUCAAGGUAAGAUAAUGACGGUACUUGAGGAGGAAGCCCCGGCUAACUACGUGCCAGCCGCCGC
rnacentral:rRNA from 1 species